rnacentral:lncRNA from 1 species
AUCCAUCACUCUUGUUGCGGCCAAUCCCCUCGUCGUCUGGUCAUCGAGAACGAGUACCUGUAAGAAAAGUCCACACUGACCGGAGAUGCCUCCGGUGGGACCCUCCAACGAUCAAGUCAGAGAGGAGACUAGGCAACAGUAGAAAAGAAUCAGGAGCUCGCGGAAGAGAGCUAGGAGGAGAGAGAGAGAGAAAGAGAGCUCAGGAGUUUAGAGAAACCUCUCUUUCUUUUUUUACCAACACUGUUGCCUUCUCCGUUUUAUAGUAGAGC